rnacentral:rRNA from 1 species
UGGGGAAUCUUGCGCAAUGGGCGAAAGCCUGACGCAGCGACGCCGCGUGCGGGAUGACGGCCUUCGGGUUGUAAGCCGCUUUCAGCAGGGACGAGGCCGCAAGGUGACGGUACCUGCAGAAGAAGCCCCGGCUAACUACGUGCCAGCAGCCGCGGUAAUACGUAGGGGGCGAGCGUUAUCCGGAUUCAUUGGGCGUAAAGCGCGCGUAGGCGGCCAGUUAGGUCGGGAGUCAAAUUUCGGGGCUCAACCCCGUCUCGCUCCCGAUACCGGCUGGCUUGAGUGUGGUAGGGGAAGGCGGAAUUCCCGGUGUAGCGGUGGAAUGCGCAGAUAUCGGGAAGAACACCGGUGGCGAAGGCGGCUUUCUGGGCCAUCACUGACGCUGAGGCGCGAAAGCUAGGGGAGCAAACAGGAUUAGAUACC